GACGUAGGGGGCCAGCGUUGUUCGGAAUUACUGGGUGUAAAGGGUUCGUAGGCGGUGCGGCAAGUUGGGAGUGAAAUCUCUGGGCUUAACCCAGAGGCUGCUUCCAAAACUGCUGUGCUUGAGUGUGGGAGAGGCGCGUGGAAUUGCAGGUGUAGCGGUGAAAUGCUUAGAUAUGACAUAGAACACCAAUUGCGAAGGCAGCUUACUACACAACGAUUGACGCUGAGGCACGAAAGCGUGGGGAUCGAACAGG
rnacentral:rRNA from 1 species